rnacentral:lncRNA from 1 species
AGAAUAUUUGUAUUUAUGUUGAGUUUUGGUAUGAAUUAGAACAUUAUAUACCAAAGUUAAGCAAGUUGAAGGAUAAAACAAACUCAAUUCAUUUUGCCUAAAUAGAGAUAUCCUUCUCUUCUCCUUUUUACAAAUUUAUUCAACUUUCAGAUUUUAACGAUGAUUGUGAAAGACAAAUCUGAAAUUUCUUUUCAAUAAUAUCAAAAAAAUUUAUGUAGUAUUCCAAACAUUCAAUCAAAUUGUCCAAUCAUGGAGCAUUACAAAAUAUUGAGAACCCAUAAUUCAAAGCAUCAUGCCAUAUGCAAAAUAUAUUAUGUGUUAAGUCAUGCAUUAGAAUAUUAAGAGUAAGCAU